rnacentral:rRNA from 1 species
GUCUACAGCCAAUGCCACCCUGAAUGUGCCCAAUCUUGUUUGAUCUUGAAAGCUAAGCAGGGUCAGUCCUGGUUAGUACUGGGAUUGGAGACCACCUAGGAAUACCAGGUGAUGUAGACA